GGUAAUACUAGGCAUAACUGCUGGUAUACUGGUAGGUGAAAAACAAAAACUGCAGUGGACUUAUUUCUCCUGUGCUACUGUUAGGAUACCAUGUUCAGACUGUUGCUCUGUAUUCUCAAGGUUGCAUCUCCUUGGUGGCCUCCCACAUUUUAAAAUGUGAUCAAGGUAUUUUGGAGAAUAAGAUGAGCUUCACAGUAUAGCAAGGGUAUGCUGGUCAGUGUCUUUCCUGAUAAUCAAAUGACAGAAAAGCAGGCGGGUGAAUCUUUGUAUAUAAGAUAAAAG
rnacentral:lncRNA from 1 species